rnacentral:rRNA from 1 species
GGGUGAGUAACACGUAAGCAACCUACCCUAAAGACGAGGAUAACCAUUGGAAACAGUGGCUAAGACUGGAUAGGAAGAUAAAAGGCAUCUUGUAUCUUUUAAAAGACCUAGUAAUAGGUAUGCUUUAGGAGGGGCUUGCGCCAUAUUAGUUAGUUGGUAGGGUAAUGGCCUACCAAGACGAUGAUGUGUAGCUGGACUGAGAGGUUGAACAGCCACAUUGGGACUGAGACACGGCCCAAACUCCUACGGGAGGCAGCAGUAGGGAAUUUUCGGCAAUGGAGGAAACUCUGACCGAGCAACGCCGCGUGAAUGACGAAGUACUUCGGUAUGUAAAGUUCUUUUAUCGAGGAAGAAAAGCAAAUGGCGAACCAUUUGUUUGCCGGUACUUGAUGAAUAAGCCCCGGCUAAUUAUGUGCCAGCAGCCGCGGUAAGACAUAAGGGGCAAGUGUUAUCCGGAAUUAUUGGGCGUAAAGGGUGCGUAGGCGGUCUAGUAAGUCAGUGGUGUAAUGGCAACGCUUAACGUUGUCCGGCUAUUGAAACUGCUAAACUUGAGUUAGAUAGAGGCGAGUGGAAUUCCAUGUGUAGCGGUAAAAUGCGUAAAUAUAUGGAGGAACACCAGAGGCGUAGGCGGCUCGCUGGGUCUUAACUGACGCUGAGGCACGAAAGCGUGGGGAGCAAACAGGAUUAGAUACCCUGGUAGUCCACGCCGUAAACGAUGAGUACUAAGUGUCGGGUUAAACCGGUACUGAAGUUAACACAUUAAGUACUCCGCCUGAGUAGUACGUACGCAAGUAUGAAACUUAAAGGAAUUGACGGGACUCCGCACAAGCGGUGGAUCAUGUUGUUUAAUUCGAAGAUACCCGAAAAACCUUACCAGGUCUUGACAUGUUUUUGCAAAAUGAUAGUAAUAUCGUGGAGGUUACCAGAAACACAGGUGGUGCAUGGUUGUCGUCAGCUCGUGUCGUGAGAUGUUAGGUUAAGUCCUAAAACGAGCGAAACCCUUAUCGUUAGUUGCCAGCACGUUAUGGUGGGGACUUUAACGAGACUGCCAAUGAUAAAUUGGAGGAAGGUGAGGAUCACGUCAAAUCAGCAUGCCCCUUAUGACCUGGGCUACAAACGUGAUACAAUGGCUGUUACAAAGGGUAGCUGAAACGCAAGUUCUUGGCCAAUCCCCAAAAACAGUCCCAGUCCGGAUUGAAGUCUGCAACUCGACUUCAUGAAGUUGGAAUCGCUAGUAAUCGCGAAUCAGCAUGUCGCGGUGAAUACGUUCUCGGGGUUUGUACACACCGCCCGUCAAACCACGAAAGUUGGCAAUACCCCAAAACGGUAGCCUAACUCGUUUAUUCGAG